GUGUUUUGUCUGCCUCCCUCUCUCUUCUGUCCAUUCAGCCGUAACGAUGAAGCCAUCUGUCAUUUUGACUCACUCAUUUUAACUGGCUGAUCUGCCCUUGUGUGUCGUCUGCAUGUGUAAGGGUGUAUCAGUUGGGAUUCCAGAGACAUCUGAAAUCCACUUAAUUCAAGGUUAAAGUAACCUAGGCACAGAGUGGAAUAUCAUGGACCCUCCAAAGGAUACACCUGGGAACAGAACUACAAACCCCGUGUACAAAGAGAGAAGGACAGGUGCAUAUUACCACAGGGACAUGAAAGGAUGUUCUUCAGUUAAGCAAACAGAAAGUGAUGAUAUGGCACCCAAAUGUUUGACUACAGCUGACACCCAGUCAUAUGAAAAUGUGUUGGCAGCUAUUUACAGCAACCAAGAGGGAGUGUGUUUCUAUGUACGUGAAGACGAUGACUAUGUCACCCCUGUUGGUGGAGAUGAUGCAGCUGAGAAGUUUGCUCAGACCCCCUCCGAUUCUCUCAAUCUACCAGACACUCUUACAGAAGGAGAAUCUUAUGAGAACAUGGAAGGCCUCUAUGCUCAUCCACGUAAAAGAUUUAACAAGAGUCAGGAGGAGGAUGAAGUUUACUUCGAUCCUGAUGCAGUGGAACAACAAUGCCAAGGAGGGUUACAUUUACCACAGGAGCUAACUGACACUGAUUCAUAUGAGAACAUGGAGCAGAAUUUUGCAGCUCAUCAACAAGACAGUGACGAUUACAUCAAUCCUGACACAGAUAUGGGGCAUUGUUCCAGACUGAUGAGCUGUCCUCUGGAGGGUAGGGACUACUACACUGAAGAUUCCUAUGUUAGCAUGGAAGACAACCUUAUGUCACCUAUGGAGGAUCCGGAGUGGGAUUAAGGGUGUUGCAGAGAUCUCCAUACUGUAAGUAUCAAAGACCAAAUGGUAAAACGUGGGUAUGUAUAUGACAUAGGCCAUGUAUGUGAAAUGCAUGUUUAAUUCAUUAUUGCUGCCAAAUUGAGCUUUCCUCUCAAGGUUCUCAAUGGAAUGUUUCAGGUUGCACUUAUGGAAAAAGGCCUAAGAACACAUCUGCACAUUUGAUCUAAAAGUGUAUUAUCCUAUCAUGUUUCCUUCUAAAUGGAAGGGAACUGAAUAGUGUGUUUUCUUCAUGGAACCAAUUUAAAGUGGGGUCCUCAAUUAAAAUCCAAUAGUGUUUGUAAAAAAUCAGCAAAUUUCUCCUCAUGCUCCUCCAGCUGUCUGUUCUGUGUUUGUGCUACAGUCCCCAGCCCUGGGUCUGUAAAUGACAAGGUGGCUCACACCGAAUAACACACUACUGGUCCAGAAGUAUUGGCUGCUGCGAUAUAUCUUGCAUAUCAGGGGGUUCUUACAUGCUUAGGUUGGUAGAUGCCGUAAUUGCACACCUCCUAUGAAGAGCCAAACUGACAUGUAUUUUGUACUUUUCAGAUUCAUGGCUGUGAAUAGAGGGGAGCUCUAGUCCGGUUGAGCUUCAGAAUGGACAGAAUGACAGAAUCCAUAGAUGGAGAUAGUUUUGGAUUGCAUGUUUCAUACUGCUUGUAAGCAUGCAUUUUUGUUUAACGAAAAAAGGGGCAUUAUCGUUUAACAAUUUGCAAAAACAUGGGAGGUAAACCUAAUGUAUGCCAUGUUCAUUGCCCCUCACUUCUUUAAUUGACAAUUGAAAUGCCACAUUCAUACAUACUAGUCUCAAAAAAGAUUACGUUUUAUGUUGGUCUUCUCAUCUUUAGGACUGCAUUUUCCAUUGAUGUAAAAAAAACUGUUACUGUAACAAACUGUGCCUGUUUUCAUUAGAAAUCAACAGCCAGCAGAUACUUGUUGUUUAUGCACUAACAGGAAGUGGUUCAGUUGGUUGAAGCCCAGCCCAUGAGUAUGUGCAGCUGAACAUGUUGCAUACUUAGCAAGUUAUCAGGUUCCUCUUGUAUUCAUAACAUUGUUUGUAUAAAAUGACCACAGUGCAGCUUUGUAAUUAAUGUCACAUAAAGCUAAUUUUUUUUUUAUUGUUCUGAAAUAAAAUGCUAAUUUUAUUUCUGUUUCA
rnacentral:lncRNA from 1 species